rnacentral:rRNA from 1 species
GAUGAACGCUGGCGGCGUGCUUAACACAUGCAAGUCGAACGGUGAAGGCGGAGCUUGCUCUGCUGGAUCAGUGGCGAACGGGUGAGUAACACGUGAGCAAUCUGCCCCUGACUCUGGGAUAAGCGCUGGAAACGGCGUCUAAUACUGGAUACGAGCUGCGAAGGCAUCUUCAGCAGCUGGAAAGAACUUCGGUCAGGGAUGAGCUCGCGGCCUAUCAGCUUGUUGGUGAGGUAACGGCUCACCAAGGCGUCGACGGGUAGCCGGCCUGAGAGGGUGACCGGCCACACUGGGACUGAGACACGGCCCAGACUCCUACGGGAGGCAGCAGUGGGGAAUAUUGCACAAUGGGCGAAAGCCUGAUGCAGCAACGCCGCGUGAGGGACGACGGCCUUCGGGUUAUAAACCUCUUUUAGCAGGGAAGAAGCGAAAGUGACGGUACCUGCAGAAAAAGCGCCGGCUAACUACGUG